ACGAAGGGGGCUAGCGUUGUUCGGAAUUACUGGGCGUAAAGCGCACGUAGGCGGCUUUCCAAGUUGGAGGUGAAAUCCCCGGGCUUAACCCGGGAACUGCCUCCAAAACUGAAAGGCUAGAGUCCGAGAGAGGUGAGUGGAAUUUCCAGUGUAGAGGUGAAAUUCGUAGAUAUUGGAAAGAACACCAGUGGCGAAGGCGGCUCACUGGCUCGGUACUGACGCUGAGGUGCGACAGCGUGGGGAGCAAACAG
rnacentral:rRNA from 1 species